UGCACUGCGAUCAGUUGAGUUCGCGCGCGCGGUCAUCGGCUCGAUUGGAUUUCGCAGAUUCGCCGGCGCAAGUGUGCCUACACUAUGGCGCGCGGUGCGGCAGUAGACAGUAUGACCACGUCAGGUGUGAGCCCGCGCAAAGGAGGAUCUGCAGCAGAACCGUUACAUUAUAUUACCAAAUCCAUCUCCAAAUGAACUCAAUUGAUGAAAUCCAAUGAUUAAUUUAUUUAUAUUAACAAAUAAGAAAUCAUAAUCUGCAUACCAGCAAACCAUUUUGAUGUUGCCCGCAUUCAACCCGCUCCACCACGACAUGAUGAUUGAUUAGAGAUUGCGCUGCGUUUCGUUGUACCCAACAUCUCAAAGAGCCCGUCAAAUAGUGGUCAUACUAUACAAAAGCCGAACUUUUACUUGACUACUUUGACUUUUACCCUAACGGAUAUGACCGAUCAUUUUCCUACAAUGCAUCUUAUUGAAGAAAAUAAUAACUCCAUUAUAAAUAUAGAAUUUGAUACAGUCGAGAUCAGAAAUAUAAUUAAUAUUGACCACUUAAAUAUUAUGCUUCUUAGUAUAGAAAUCUGGGAUAUAAUAUUAUAAAAUAUUAAUAUUAAUAAA